rnacentral:rRNA from 1 species
AGUGAACGCUGGCGGUAGGCCUAACACAUGCCAGUCGAACGGCAGCACAGUAAGAGCUUGCUCUUACGGGUGGCGAGUGGCGGACGGGUGAGGAAUACAUCGGAAUCUACUUUUUCGUGGGGGAUAACGUAGGGAAACUUACGCUAAUACCGCAUACGACCUACGGGUGAAAGCAGGGGAUCUUCGGACCUUGCGCGAUUGAAUGAGCCGAUGUCGGAUUAGCUAGUUGGCGGGGUAAAGGCCCACCAAGGCGACGAUCCGUAGCUGGUCUGAGAGGAUGAUCAGCCACACUGGAACUGAGACACGGUCCAGACUCCUACGGGAGGCAGCAGUGGGGAAUAUUGGACAAUGGGCGCAAGCCUGAUCCAGCAAUACCGCGUGGGUGAAGAAGGCCUUCGGGUUGUAAAGCCCUUUUGUUGGGAAAGAAAAGCAGCAGGUUAAUACCCCGCUGUUCUGACGGUACCCAAAGAAUAAGCACCGGCUAACUUCGUG